rnacentral:lncRNA from 1 species
UGACCUACCAGGUUGUUUGUCGCUGGCCCUCUGUUGACUAUCCUUUGGAAGGUCGUGCAUUGAGGCCCAUGAGAAGGACAUGGAGCUCUCUUUUGCUGUUCAGCGCAGCAAGGACAUGGUGUGUGGGAUCUGCAUGGAGGUGGUCUAUGAGAAAGCCAACCCCAGCGAGCGUCGUUUUGGGAUCCUCUCCAACUGCAACCACACCUACUGUCUCAAGUGUAUUCGCAAGUGGAGAAGUGCUAAACAAUUUGAGAGCAAGAUCAUAAAGUGAGACUCCUCCCCAA